UACGUAGGGGGCUAGCGUUGUCCGGAUUUAUUGGGCGUAAAGAGCGUGUAGGCGGCCGGGUAAGUCCGGUGUGAAAACUCGAGGCUUAACCUCGAGAUGUCAUCGGAAACUCUUCGGCUAGAGUCCGGAAGAGGAGAGUGGAAUUCCUGGUGUAGCGGUGAAAUGCGCAGAUAUCAGGAAGAACACCUAUGGCGAAAGCAGCUCUCUGGGACGGUACUGACGCUGAGACGCGAAAGCGUGGGGAGCGAACAGG
rnacentral:rRNA from 1 species